rnacentral:rRNA from 1 species
AUUGAACGCUGGCGGCAUGCUUUACACAUGCAAGUCGAACGGCAGCGCGGGCUUCGGCCUGGCGGCGAGUGGCGAACGGGUGAGUAAUACAUCGGAACGUGCCCAGUAGUGGGGGAUAGCUCGGCGAAAGGCGGAUUAAUACCGAAUACGACCUGAGGGGGAAAGCGGGGGAUCUUCGGACCUCGCGCUAUUGGAGAGGCCGAUGGCAGAUUAGCUAGUUGGUGGGGUAAAGGCCUACCAAGGCGACGAUCGGUAGCUGGUCUGAGAGGACGACCAGCCACACUGGGACUGAGACACGGCCCAGACUCCUACGGUAGGCAGCAGUGGGGAAUUUUGGACAAUGGGCGAAAGCCUGAUCCAGCAAUGCCGCGUGUGUGAUGAAGGCCUUCGGGUUGUAAAGCACUUUUGGCGGGAACGAAAAGGACUGUGCCAAUACCACGGUUCGAUGACGGUACCCGCAGAAUAAGCACCGGCUAACUACGUG